rnacentral:rRNA from 1 species
UACGUAGGGUGCGAGCGUUAAUCGGAAUUACUGGGCGUAAAGCGUGCGCAGGCGGUUGUGCAAGACAGAUGUGAAAUCCCCGGGCUUUAACCUGGGAACUGCAUUUGUGACUGCAUAGCUAGAGUACGGUAGAGGGGGGAUGGAAUUCCGCGUGUAGCAGUGAAAUGCGUAGAUAUGCGGAGGAACACCGAUGGCGAAGGCAGUCCCCCUGGACCUGUAC